AUGGUAUGUGGUUGUGAAUCUUGGAGAACUAAAGCCAAGCUUCUACCCUUCUUCCCAGAAGGCUCCCCACUCACAAUAGGAGAGAAGCCAGAGGAAAGGAAAUUAUCAUGGAGAUUCAUCUUGAUGCAAAGGUGCUAUGAUGAAUUGCUGUCCUCACUCAACCAACCCAGGACCACCAGGAACAAAGCCUACUCUGACAAAGCCUACAAAGUGAUGUUCAUUGACACAUUGCAAAGACCACACACCAGCAGAACCAUAGGGUAUCUCCCCAAACAAAGGAAAAGAAAAGAAUUACAGUAUGGGGCAUGGGGAAGAGUGGAAUUUAAGCGAAAUGUAUUUUGACAGACUCAAAGCAAGAUAGGUCUAAAUGUAAAGGUAUCAUCCUAAGUUCUGGACUAUGAAGCAGUUUGCUGGGAACAAAUGGAACAAAUGGAACACUAUGAAGUGUUUGCUGGGAAGCAAUAAGACUAUUAUCCAUAGCUGUGGGCUACUGUGUCCAGAAACCCCUCCUCCAAAGCUCUCUCCCUAGGGUUUAAAUCAAGGCUGCUUCUCUCUCAGUGACUUAGAUCCUCCAGGCAAGGGUGAGAUAUUUCACUCUAACAUCAUUUCAAACAGCGAUGUUUCUGAUAGUCUAGGAUUCUAGAGAAGAAAGGUUUCUCAGUGAGUCAGAAGACACUACUCACUCCAAGAAGGGGGUUUUUGUGACCCUUUACCACUACAGCAUGCCCCUUGCGAGAAAUAUUAUUUAUUGUUCACUUUGAAUCUGGUUUUCUCUUUUAUUCCAGCCUGAUGAAUGGCCAAGGAAGAUUUUAAUAGUCCAGGCUAAUUUUUACUUUCUCUCGUCUCAAUGGGGGUGACAGACAAUCAGGUCAUUACAACACAGUGGGAGAAGCAGCUAUGAUGAGGGUUUAAUUUAGACUUCAUUUAGGUCAGGGAAGACUGUCUGCAGGAGGCAGACCUCCCAGCUGGGAAAAGCAGAAGCUGCCCCAACGAAAGUGGGAAGGGGUGUUAGAGCACAGUCAGGACUUGGGCAGAGGCACAAGAGUGGGGCACAGGGUGGUAAAUUGGAGGAAUCACAAGUGUCAUUGAAGACGAAUCAACAGAAUGUCUAGAAUGCUGGGGAGGACUGCAUAAGACAGUUAAUCAAAACUUACACCAAAGCACUGGUCACCGGGAGUGUGUGUUCUCUGUUCAGGGGAGAGUCAUUAGCAUGGUCUUCCUAUGCACAUACACGUGAAAGGCAAGUAGCCCCCAGAGGGGAAGUGCUAAGGGGGAGUUCCCCUGAGGUUUCCUAAGGCACCUGGUUUGCAAAGCUGAUCCCUGUAUGGAAAGUAGAGCCAUUUGUAGACUUGCCCUGAACCAUCCCAUCCUGUUUCCUGAGAACAUUUAGGGAAUCAGGCUGGCCUUUAACCAAUGCUGAGUUUCAGGAAAGGACGAGAACAACCAAGAAAUAAAACUGCCCGGAAGACACAGGGUGUUCCUGAGAACUGGACAUACCAGUGGGUGGUAUCAUUCAAGGUCCUGGGAGGGAACAGACUGCACAGUGAAACAGGACAGUCCUCUUUCUCGUCUCUUCACUGGCCAAAACCGAUCAGGAACAGAGGGCAAGUAGGGCAAGGAUUGAAUUGGUUCAGGUGGACCUGGGCAUCGGCGGUCAUGUAGCUCUGCAGAGCACCGCGGUGUGUGGUCAGCACUGAGGGGGCCUCUCUUCCCUGGCCAAACCCAGUCAAGAACAGAGGGCAAGGAGGGCUGCCAAGGCUGUCCCUGGAGGUCAGCCUCCAGGACAGGGAGCAAGGUGGAAAAGGGAGAACAGUGGAUUUGGAGGGACAAAGUAGGAAGUUCUAGAACAGGGGCUCAUGCUAAGGCCUCUUUCUGACUUGUUCACCCUGGCACAGAGGUUUUUCUCUGCAAAACAACAGGUGGAUUUGGGAAAGUGAGACAAAAGGGGUUGUCACUUACAGCACAGCAGGGAACAGCAGACCCUAGCACUGUGGACCUGGUGUCCUCAACAAACUGCCACCUUUGGAGACAGGUGCUAGAAAGCAUUUAAAAUUACUUACUAGUUUUAACUUACAUUAUUUAAAAUGAUUUCUUAUUGAAUUUAAAAAAUUAAUGAGUGUCCACGUCGGCACCCUUUGUUAGAGAAGCAGAUCAUGUUAGAGGGGCGACAGCCAAGUCUGGAGCCCGAAGCAAGUCUGGAAGGACACGAGUGUCAGGUGGAGACUUUAUCCUGAGGGCAGUGUGGACCUGGAAGGCCUCCAGCAGGGAGUAGCAUGUGGUACUGGCUGCUUUUGCUAGAUUAUUGCUGUGAUAGGCAAACCCCUGCCCCUUCCCUUACAUUACCAGGAAGGAUUGCAUAUUAAUUCUGCUGUCACCUGACUCCCUUGCCCAGAUGGGGAAGACAACUGUUAAGCACUAGGGAUGAAGAGGAGAAGCAAAGAAAGGGGAGUCAGAAAACAGGGACAAAAAACAGUAUGUGCUUUUCAAGUUUGAGCCUUCAAGAUAUCGGUUGGAGAACUAGAAAAUCUUGUUUCCAGGCAUCACAUUCUUCAGUUCCUCUGCAUUUUUCUAAGCUUUGGAGGAAUGUAUAAACUGGUUUCCAAAAAUGUCCUGCGUUUUCUUUCAACAAAACUAUUGAACACCUGCUAUGUGUCAGGUCUCAAGAGAACAACAGACAAGAAAACGUGGGCUGCCCGAGAGCCCCUGACAGCCUUGCAGAGCGACAGAUACAUGCGCAGUUAUUUGCAAGUGUAUGGCUGAGCCUCUAAAACAAUGCAGGCCAUGUUUUAGACCAAAGAAAAGGAUAGCUAGAAUUAUUAUAGGUGCAUAAAAUUGAGUAAAUUAUAGUCCUUGUUUCAUGGUGCUUAUCGUCAUCAGCCUGUUUUAUUUUUUACAAUUCAAUUCCCACUUAUGUUUCUCCCCACAGACAUCCACUUUGAUGGACUUAAUAAGUAUCCUUGGAUAGGUUGGGUUGGCAUCUUUAUAAAAUCAUACAGACAUGGUGUCACGCCAUAGAUCUUAAUCUGCUGCUGCUUUCACUCAACACUAAUGUUUUUAUUAUUUUAAGUUAUGGGGUACAUGUGCAGAACGUGCAGGUUUGUUACAUAGGUACACAUGUGCCAUGGUAGUUUGCAGUACCCUAUCAACCUGUCAACUAGGUUUUAAGUCCUGCAUGCAUUAGGUAUUUGUCCUAAUGCUCUCCCUCCCCUUGCCCCCCACCCCCAACACUAAUUUUUAAGAUCUACCCAUGAUGCACACGCACAUCUAGUUCAUAGGGGCCUAACUGCUGGAAAGUAUUCCACAGGUUGUAUCUAUUCCAUAGUAUUAUCCAUUCCCUGAGCAGUAAAUGCUCAGAUGCCUCCAAUUGUCUUACUACCACAUUAAUCUGAAAUGAAUGUAGCAUCUGUAGACUUGUCCCUUUAUGGACUGUGAGCAAAUUUCUCUGGAGCAUUUACCCAGGAACGGGCUAAAUAAGUCAUGGGGUAUAUGUGACGUCCAGAAGUAUUGGCAUACUGCUCUCUAGACACUCAAACUUGGUAUUGUCUGCCUCUUUAAUGUUUUGGGCCUUUUUUUUUUUUUUUUUUUUCCUAAGACAGAGUCUCACUCUGUUGCCAGGCUGGAGUGCAGUGGCACGAUCUUGGCUCACUGCAGCCUCUGCCUCCCGGGUUCAAGCAAUUCUCCUGCUUCAGCCUCCUGAGUAGCUGGGACUAUAGGCACGUGCCGCCACGUGCAGCUCAUUUUUUGUAUUUUUAGUAAAGAUGGGGUUUCACUAUGUUAGCCAGCAUGGUCUCAAUCUCCUGAUCUUGUGAUCCGCCGCCUCAGCCUCCCAAAGUGUUGGGAUUACAGGCGUGAGCCACUGCACCCCGCCCAAUAUUCUUGGCUUUUAAGUUGUGUCUUGUUUUACUUUAUUAUUUUUUAUUUUAUUUUUUUGAGACAGAACCUCACUUUGUCACCCAGGCUGGAGUGCAGUGGUGCCAUCUUGGCUCACUGCAGCCUCCACCUCCUGGGUUCUAGCAAUUCUCCUGCCUCAGCCUCCCUAGUAGCUGCAAUUACAGACAAGCACCACUACAUCCGGCUAAGUUUUGUAUUUUUAAUAGAGAUGGCAUUUCACUGUGUUGGCCAGGCUGGUCUCGAACUCCUGACCUCAGGUGAUCCCUCCGCCUCAGCCUCUCAAAGUGUUGGGAUUACAAGCAUGAGCCACCGCACCCCUCCGUCUUGUUUUAUUUUGGUAUCCAGCGAAGUUGAGCAAUGUUAGCCAUUUCAAUUUCCCCUUGAAUAUACUUUGUGUAUUUUUCUAUUGGAUUUACUUUAGAUAUUAUUUCUGUUACUUUUUGAUGAUAUAAAAAUCUCCCUUUCUGUAAGCCAAUUGUCAUCUUUGUCUAUUAUAUCAUAUUAAAAAUGAAUUCUUAAUUGUGGUGUAAUAUAAUCCAUUAAACUUUUUUACCCAAUUGUUCGUGGUUUCUGAGUCUUGUAGAAAUCCUUCAACCCCACCUCUCUUCUACCCCCCAAAAGAUACUCUUCCUACAUUUUCUUUUUUUAACUUUAUAGUUUUAUCUUUCCAUGGGAUCUUGGUUGAUCUGAAAUUCACCUUCACACAGAAUGAGGUAAGGACCUAAUUUUACUUUUCUCCAAUAGUGAGGCACUGUUGCCUUUCUUCACUGACUUGUGGUGUCAGCCUCAUAUAUCAAGUUCUCAUGUACACAGCUUUGCUUCUGAGCGCUCUGUUCUGCCCCAUUAAGCUAUUUACCCACAAUCAUGUACGAUAAUGCUUUUGUUGCUGUGGCUUUGCAGUAUUUGUUGAUAUCUGGGAGUCUCAUUGUCCUUCUUGUCUUUCCUUUAUGAAAAUGAACCUAACUAUUCAUGGGUAUUCCCUCUUCUAUAGACAUUUUUUUUCAUUUUCUCAUUUCUACUUUUGUAGAGAUGGGGUCUCGCUAUGUGGCCCAGGCAGAUCUCAAACUCCUGGCUUCAAGUAAUCCUCCCACCUCAUCCUCCUGAAGUGCUGGGAUUACAGAUGUGAGCCACUGAGCCCAGCCAACAAACAUAUUUAAAGUUGUAAAUUCAAAGGUAUACAUUUUGACAUACAGUACCUGGAAUCCAUUUGGAAUAUAUAAAAUAUUCUCUUUAGGCC
rnacentral:lncRNA from 1 species